CCCGCGUACCGAGGAAUAGAUCAUCCCGUCAACUUCAACCUGGGGAAAAUCGAGGGCGGGAAUUGGGCCAGUUCGGUCCCGAGCAGUUGUACCUUCGAGGCGCGGGUAGGAUUUUUCCCAGGGGUGACCAUCGACGAGGUGAAACGGGACGUAGAGAGUACGUUGCAUGAAGCGGCGACGGAGAUGGGAUUGAGGUUGGAGAUUUCGUAUCGUGGGUUUCAUGCCGAUGGCGCCGUGCUGCUUUCGGAAUACGUGGAUGGAAA
rnacentral:ribozyme from 1 species